rnacentral:tRNA from 1 species
ACGAUGGUGAUUCAGUGGCUGAAUUCUUGCUUGCCAUGCUGGAGAUCUGGGUUCGAUUCCUGGCCAAUGCA